rnacentral:RNase_P_RNA from 1 species
UUGGUAAACUAGACGAUCGCCGUUUUGCUAUUGCAGAAGGGAGGAAAGUCCGGGCUACAUAAGGCAGCGUGCCAGCUAACGGCUGGGCGGGGUAACCCGACGACCAGUGCAGCAGAGAGGAGACCGCCUUCAAUAUUGCUUUAGAGCUUGCUUUAAAGUAGGAGGUAAGGGUGAAAGGGUGUGGUAAGAGCACACCGCAUGGCUGGCAACAGUUCAUGGCAAGGUAAACUCCACGCGUAGCAAGACCAAAUAGGUGUCCAUUACUUGUCGCCUGCAGGGGACACGGGUAGGUUGCUCGAGCGUAUUGGCAACGAUACGCCUAGAUGAAUGAUCGUUCUCGACAGAACCCGGCUUAUCGGUUUACCAAAAAU